rnacentral:rRNA from 1 species
CAGUCGCCGCGGUAAUACGGAGGGCGCGAGCGUUACCCGGAUUUACUGGGCGUAAAGGGCGUGUGGGCGGCCUGGGGCGUCCCAUGUGAAAGGCCACGGCUCAACCGUGGAGGAGCGUGGGAUACGCUCAGGCUAGAGGGUGGGAGAGGGUGGUGGAAUUCCCGGAGUAGCGGUGAAAUGCGCAGAUACCGGGAGGAACGCCGAUGGCGAAGGCAGCCACCUGGUCCACUUCUGACGCUGAGGCGCGAAAGCGUGGGGAGCAAACCGGAUUAGAUACCCCCGUAGUCCCUGUCUCUUAUAA